rnacentral:tRNA from 1 species
CGCGCGCUGGUGCGGCGGCGACCGGGACUGCGCAUCCCGAGCGGCUGGGACGGCUUCGAGAUCGCCGUGCGCGCGA